rnacentral:rRNA from 1 species
GGAUUAGAUACCCUAUUAUUUUGGAUUUAAAUUAUAUUUAACUUGAGUAGUAUUAGUUAUGAACUUGAAACUUAAAGAAUUUGGCGGUACUUUAGUCUAUUUAGAGGAAUCUGUCCCAUAAUCGAUAAUCCACGUUGAACCUUACUUAAUUAAUUUAUUUGUAUACCGCCGUUUAGUGAAGAUUUUUUUAGAAAUAAUUUUCUUAAUAUAUAAAUAUAUAAUAUUUCAGGUCAAGGUGCAGUUUAUAAUUAAGGGGAGAUGGAUUACAAUAUUAUAAUUAAUAGACGAAUCAUUCAUUGAAAUUUAUUUAUGUGAAGGUGGAUUUAAUAGUAAUAUUUUAAAUAUUGUAUAUAUGAAUUUAGCUCUAAAGUGUGUACACAUCGCCCGUCACUCUCGUUAAUUAAGACGAGAUAAGUC